CUUAGUGACUUUAGUGUCCCUUAGUUGUGCCCAGCCGAUCUACAGUCUUCCAUCAGACGACAAAUGCGUUUGUGAUGUCAGUCAUGUGGUGAACUGUAACGGCGAAAGCUGGAUCUACUGAAGGAAAUCAUGAGACAACUUCUUCAGGCAGGAUCCAACUUCUCCAGCGCAGGCCCCCGGGGAUACCUGGUAGAGACGGUCGGGACGGGAGUGUUGGCCCUCCUGGUCCCCCCGGGCCACCAGGACCAAGUGGUCGUGACGGUCGAGAUGGAGUUGUCAGUUGUCCGGCCGGUUCAGACGGGUCUUCGAGCCCAAAAGUUGCCUUCACCCUGACCCGUUCCACUGAUCUGGGCGUGGUCUCCAGUUCAGCUGACCUGACCGUGACCUUUGAGAGGGUCUGCAUGGAGGGUCCUGACAACGCUUUACGCUAAAUUCGGGACGGUCGACAACGCUUUACGUUAAAUUCACGAAGGCCUGCAACGUUUUACCCUAAAUUCAGAAAGGCUGGCAACGGUUUACGUUAUUUAAAGAUGUUGCCCAAUUUUCCUGUCAAGCGUAAAGAUGAACCACAUACUAGAGUCGGCCUGAAUGUUCUGUCUUGCUGUUUCUGUUAUUGACUCAAAUACAAAUCAACGAGUAGAUACAUGUAGGUGUUGUUAUGAACACACGUAAGCCUACACAGGCUUUGACUUAUUCUCUGCAUUCUCAGGCAUUCGGAUGUAGGGAUUGGGAGUGACCAAGUUAAGCCGGA